GACGAACGCUGGCGGCGUGCUUAACACAUGCAAGUCGAGCGGAAAGGCCCUUCGGGGUACUCGAGCGGCGAACGGGUGAGUAACACGUGAGUAACCUGCCCCAGACUUUGGGAUAACCCUCGGAAACGGGGGCUAAUACCGGAUACGACACAGCUUCGCAUGGGGUCUGUGUGGAAAGUUUUUCGGUUUGGGAUGGGCUCGCGGCCUGUCAGCUUGUUGGUGGGGUGAUGGCCUACCAAGGCGACGACGGGUAGCCGGCCUGAGAGGGCGACCGGCCACACUGGGACUGAGACACGGCCCAGACUCCUACGGGAGGCAGCAGUGGGGAAUAUUGCACAAUGGGCGGAAGCCUGAUGCAGCGACGCCGCGUGAGGGAUGACGGCCUUCGGGUUGUAAACCUCUUUCAGCAGGGACGAAGCGUAAGUGACGGUACCUGCAGAAGAAGCGCCGGCCAACUACGUG
rnacentral:rRNA from 1 species